AACGCACCUUGCACUCUUUGGUAUUCCGAAGAGUAUGUCUGUUUGAGUGUCGUGAACCUCUCAACCCCCCCUUUUUGUCAUGAGACGGGCGCGGGCUUGGAUUAUGGCCGUCUGUCGGUUCUAAUCGAAUCGGCUCGGCUGAAAUACAUGAGCGACCACACUGAUCACAGUGACGGCUUGACUCGGCGUAAUAAUCUUUUUUUCGCUGAGGACGUCCAUUUUUCAGAUAGGCGCUUCUAAUGCUACAACUUUUAUAAACUUUAGACCUCAAAUCAGUCAGGACUACCCGCUGAACUUAA
rnacentral:misc_RNA from 1 species